GACGAACGCUGGCGGCGUGCCUAAUACAUGCAAGUCGAGCGCUGAAGGUUGGUACUUUUACCAACUGGAUGAGCAGCGAACGGGUGAGUAACGCGUGGGGAAUCUGCCUUUGAGCGGGGGACAACAUUUGGAAACGAAUGCUAAUACCGCAUAAAAACUUUAAACACAAGGUUUAAGUUUGAAAGAUGCAAUUGCAUCACUCAAAGAUGAUCCCGAGUUUUAUUAGCUAGUUGGUGAGGUAAAGGCUCACCAAGGCGAAGAUACAUAGCCGACCUGAGAGGGUGGUUGAGCACAUUGGGAACGGGACACGGCCCAAACCCCUAAGGGGGGCAGGAGUGGGGGAAUUUCGGCAAUAGAGGGAAGGCUUGCCGCGCACCGCCGCGUGGGUGGAGGAGGGUUUCGGGUCGUAAAAGUCCGUUGGUUGGGGAGAACGUUGAGGAGGGUGGAAAGCUCAUCAAGUGACGGUAACUACCCAGUAAGCAACGGCUAACUUCGUG
rnacentral:rRNA from 1 species